rnacentral:rRNA from 1 species
GAGUUUGUUCAUGGCUCAGGACGAACGCUGGCGGCGUGCCUAACACAUGCAAGUCGAGCGAGGAGAUUCCCUUCGGGGAUGAACCUAGCGGCGGACGGGUGAGUAACACGUGGGCAACCUGCCUUAUAGAGGGGAAUAGCCUUCCGAAAGGAAGAUUAAUACCGCAUAACAUUACAUUUUCGCAUGAAGAAGUAAUUAAAGGAGUAAUCCGCUAUAAGAUGGGCCCGCGGCGCAUUAGCUAGUUGGUGAGGUAACGGCUCACCAAGGCGACGAUGCGUAGCCGACCUGAGAGGGUGAUCGGCCACAUUGGGACUGAGACACGGCCCAGACUCCUACGGGAGGCAGCAGAGGGGAAUAUUGCACAAUGGGGGAAACCCUGAUGCAGCAACGCCGCGUGAGUGAUGAAGGUCUUCGGAUCGUAAAGCUCUGUCUUCAGGGACGAUAAUGACGGUACCUGAGGAGGAAGCCACGGCUAACUACGUGCCAGCAGCCGCGGUAAUAC